rnacentral:rRNA from 1 species
AUUGAACGCUGGCGGCAGGCCUAACACAUGCAAGUCGAGCGAGCGGCGGACGGGUGAGUAAUGUCUGGGGAUCUGCCCGAUAGAGGGGGAUAACUACUGGAAACGGUGGCUAAUACCGCAUACCAGCGGAUGUAACCAUAUGGGAUUAGCUAGUAGGUGGGGUAAAGGCUACCCUAGGCGACGAUCCCUAGCUGGUCUGAGAGGAUUACCAGCCACACUGGAACGGAGACACGGCCCAGACUCCUACGGGAGGCAGCAGUGGGGAAUAUUGCACAAUGGGCGCAAGCCUGAUGCAGCCAUGCCGCGUGUAUGAAGAAGGCCUUAGGGUUGUAAAGCACUUUCAGCGAGGAGGCGUUACCCGCAGAAGAAGCACCGGCUAACUCCGUGCCAGCAGCCGCGGUAAUAC